AGCGAACGCUGGCGGCAGGCCUAACACAUGCAAGUCGAACGAACUCUUCGGAGUUAGUGGCGGACGGGUGAGUAACACGUGGGAACGUGCCUUUUGGUUCGGAAUAACUCAGGGAAACUUGUGCUAAUACCGAAUGUGCCCUUCGGGGGAAAGAUUUAUCGCCAUUGGAGCGGCGCGCGUCUGAUUAGCUAGUUGGUGAGGUAACCGCUCACCAAGGCGACGAUCAGUAGCUGGUCUGAGAGGAUGACCAGCGACACUGGGACUGAGACGCGGCCCAGAAUCCUACGGGAGGCAGCAGUGGGGAAUCGUGCGAAAUGGGCGAAAGCAUGACGCAGCCAUGCCGCGUGAAUGAUGAAGGUCUUAGGAUUGUAAAAUUCUUUCACCGGGGACGAUAAUGACGGUACCCGGAGAAGAAGCCCCGGCUAACUUCGUG
rnacentral:rRNA from 1 species